GAAUAGAGUAGCUGGAAGCAAUGCUGGGCUAGGGAAUGUUUUAUAUCUUUUUAUUUGCUUCCCUUUUGCAAUGCUAUCAAGGCAGGUAUGUUCCUAAGAGGAGUUUCUGCUUUUUGGCAGGGUGCUGUUUUCUCACUGACAAUCACUUCUUGCAACCUCAUCCCACUGAUGCUAUAAUAGGAUUAACAUUGUAGCUGCCACUUCCCCCAGGGUAAUCAUAAUAAACUCCCCUUUUCCAGGGUUGUUCCCCCGGCAUGGUCAUUUUCUGGCAAAUAAUAUGAACCCGAAGGCGGUGCAAAUUGAUUCCUAGGAAGCCUGACCUCCCUGUUGGGAACUACAAAGGGCUGUCCGAGAGGCUUACAAACAGCUGUCCCAGGCUGCUGCCUGGGCUUAAUCCUUCUGAUCCUCUUGGGAUCCUGAAAGCUACCUCUCCUGCAAUGCUAUCGCCACUCCUGAGGUACCACGAGUGGGGGGAUGCCAAGAGACUGCAUGGAUGCCAGUGGUGACCCGAGUUUAUCAUAUCCCUCAAGAAGAGACCUUUAGGAUGCUAAGGAGAUUACCAGUCCCGAAGGAGUUCAUUCAUAUGAAAAUCUGAAUCAUGUUUUUAGUUAGAAUGAAGCGCCCUGAAUGCAAAAGUUUGCAGCCAGACCAAUUGGACCCUGGGACAGAGGCCCUGAGUUAGGGUCAGUGGGACUAAUAAACUGCCCUCCCUUUUUGCUAUCACACAGCAUGGAAAGCAUCCCAGAACACACCUAGUGUUCACAGGGGGAGGACCAUGCUCACAUAUUUGCUGCAGUUAUUUCCCGCCUCCUCCGUGACACUGCUGUGCCAGGAGAACAUCAGUUCCAUCAACAACAGUUUCAAUUUGCCAGUUUCUAAGCUUCACUCAUACAGAGGGCCCAAGGACGGCAUCUUCUUCACCCCACCACACUCACCACAGGGGAAAAGGCUUCACAUUUUGAAAUAAAAUGAGAAAUGCGUAAGAGGACAGUAGUAACCAUUUCCCCAUUUAAAGAGAAAGAAGAAGAAGGAAAAAUUUAAAAAGGAACAUGAAAGACGGUAAAAGAAGGAAAUAAAAAAAGAAUCAGAUGGGGACAACAGGCAAACAAUGAGGACGUACAGAGUUUUAAGAGACUAGCAGCAGACUGUGCGGGGCUGUAGUUGACUUGCCCAGAGCAUCCAGUGUCUGAGCAGGGAGUCCCAGCUGCUCAGGACUUGCAGCCACUGCUCUCCCCAGCGCACGUUUCCUGAGAACAGAGGCUCCCAGACUUUUUGUGUCCCUUACCCUCUUCUGUCCUUCAGCUCCAAUGUUCUGCAUUACUUCAUCUUUCAAGGAGAGAGCGUGUGCUCAUGGUGAGGCUUGUUGAAACCCACCACGCAUUCCCAUGCCGUACUCCACUUCUCAUCAGAACAGCACUGCAGCUCACCUGAGCCGAACCCCUGAUGCCAGUUCAUGGAGCAAAUUUGUUCAGCUGUGCUUUCUGAUUGUAGGGAGCAUUUUAACACCAGUGGUGGUAUGUGCUCUAUGGUGUGUCACUGCCAUGGAGUUGAAAAGUGGCUGACAGAGGGCACUUUGUUACCGUCUCCAUGUAGGAGGGUAGCGGCAGGCACAGGAGAUGUACAGCAGCAACAUUAACUGUAAUAAAAUAGAUGUAAAAGUGGAUUUCAAACAUUGCUGUGUUGCGUGGCUCAGGGCAAGCCCAGUUUAAGACAUUCUCCUCUGUUUCCUUGUAAAAUCCUGUGCUUCCCAAAAGAGGUAAAUUGUAUUUUUUCCAUACGCACACAGCUUAGUCACAGAUCAGCUGAGUCUGAACUGGAGCUGGCACCACCAGCAUUCUGCCGCAUCUUCCUCCCUGCAGACCGUGCCAGCACGCUUGGGCAGGUCCUGCAGCACAGGGCUCUGUAAGGAGCCUAAGAGUCAUUAAUUACAGAAUGGUUAAAACUAAAUUAUCUCAGCUGGACUGUGGGCAGGAGCUGGAAGAAGAAGAAGAAAACCUUACUCUACAAAAUCAGCAGUGAUCGGAUGGGAUUUCACAGCAGAAGUCACACAGCUAUGGCUUUGCAGUGACUCAGGGAGCCACGAGGGGAGGCUUCACAAUUUCUCCCCAGUCAGCUCCCAGCUUUAAACAGCGGAGGAAGUAACACAAAGAAUGCUCUUCUUACACUUCUUGCCAGCAUGUUUGUUGCCAGAGCUGUGUGCAAAAAAUCAUGGGAGAGCAGGAAGAAAUGGCUUUGCAGUGCUCAGGGCUGACUUUGCAACGUGGCAGAGGCCAUAAGAAGGCAGAUUUAUUGGGUCAAAGCAGUUACAGUAAAGGAAGACAA
rnacentral:lncRNA from 1 species